AAAGAACUCGUCAAAUGGAUGGGGAAACCCCCUAUGAUAUUCUAAUAUUGAUACAGGCAUUUCCUUAUGUAGAAAAUAGUGGAAUAAACCUGGUUUUAUAGAUAGCCAAACCUUUUACUGUAUGACAGUCGCAUGAAAUUCCAUUAUAUUAACAAUAAUUAGCGACCAAAACAAACAGACAUUAAAGGGAAAGAAAUCUUAAUCACUAUAAAACAGACAACUAUAUCAACAAAGCAAAACAAUAUGGCAUAUAAACAAAGCACAUAAGCAAACAUGAAAGACAAGACUACAACAAACGAUCACAGCACAAUAAGACAAUAGUGGGAUGGAUUAAUACCGAGCCACACCGAAAGGAUGUUAUAAAAAAUGGACUUUACAGUAAAAUUAAUCUCCCUCGCAUAAACAUCACACAAC
rnacentral:lncRNA from 1 species